GACGAAGGGGGCUAGCGUUGUUCGGAAUUACUGGGCGUAAAGCGCGUGUAGGCGGUUGUCCAAGUUGGAUGUGAAAGCCUUGAGCUCAACUCAAGAAAUGCAUUCAGGACUGGAUGACUAGAGGACCGGAGAGGAUAGUGGAAUUCCCAGUGUAGUGGUGAAAUACGUAGAGAUUGGGAAGAACACCAGUGGCGAAGGCGGCUCUCUGGGCAGAUACUGACACUGAGACGCGAAAGCGUGGGUAGCAAACAGG
rnacentral:rRNA from 1 species